rnacentral:lncRNA from 1 species
AUCCAUGUCUAAAAAUAAAUCUAUGCCAUUUCCCUGCUUGAAUUUCCUGUAGAAUACAGAGACCUAACCAAGUCAUUCUCUUUGAAGGAAACAUUUGAGAUCAUUAGCAACUUGCCUGCUGGGAGGUUCUCAAAUCCAGAUGUCUUUGUGGUCAGAUGGUAAUGCCUGGAUAUUCUCUGGACAAACUAUCUCAUCCACACCUAAACUACAAUUUCUUCAGUCCUAAGGCAAAAGAGCUUUCCAAGCCUAGGAGACAAGUGACAGCGAGAUGUGCCAAUCUGUCAGUACGGGAGCACCCAAGGUCACAGACGGGGCGGUGCUGGGGAGAGGACCUGAAGCUGGAGCAUGUGGUGCUUUCAAUGGGCGUUGGAGGUGGAUGCAACACCUUGAGAAAUGCUGGGAUGGUUUACGGCGUUGCCGAGAACCUGAAGGGAACAAAGUGUUCAGGGAACUUCUCCAAUCGCCUGCCUGUGGAGCAGGGUGCCCCGUGACUGGAGGACAAGGCAGCCCGCACACCUUUGACUACAGCGCAAGACCGAAGCCCCAGCAAAGGUGAUCAGCGCUGCUGUGGGGACAGCAGGUACACCUCUGAAAGACAAACAUCGUGGGGUUGACGCUCCUCCCAACACGGCUGCCGGAAUACUCCGCGAUUAAAUGUGGAAAAUGGAAUAAAACCAUAACUUUGGAAAACCUCCGCGUAUUU